rnacentral:rRNA from 1 species
CGGAGGUGCGAGCGUUAAUCGGAAUUACUGGCGUAAGGUGCGUAGGUGGUUAAUAAGUUAAGUGUGAAGCCCUGGCUCAACCUAGGAAGGCCAUUUAAGACUGUUAGACUUGAGUGUAGGAGAGGUAGUGGAAUUUCCGGUGUAGCGGUGAAAUGCGUAGAGAUCGGAAGGAACACCAGUGGCGAAGGCGGCUACCUGGCCGGACACUGACACUGAAGCACGAAGCGUGGGAGCAAACAGGAUU